AAUUUUGUUUUUAACUGUAUUCUACCUACACCAUAAAUAGUCUUAUAUGUAUAUUUGUAGUAUUUUUAUGUUGUAUAUCCUAUGUGUAAAGGAGUAAUAUUAGUUUAGGAUAAGAUAUAGGAUAAUCUAAUCUUAGUUUGUAUAAGAUAGAAUAGAGAAUUUAUGGCACUAUAGAAUCCGUAAGAUAUAGUGUGCUCAAUAAGGGGUCAAAUUUCUGAAUUUCAGCCGUAUUCUUGAUUCUUUGAUCUAAGGGUACAGUGUGCAUGCACGGGAGCAUGCAAAAAUUUUCGAUGCAGCUGCAGAAAAGCAGGGAUGCUUUGCACAGAAAUGUGCAAAAAUAGAAUAAUAAAAUUUGCGACUCCAUAUUUGGGUCCCUAUAGCGUAACGCGUAUUUUACGAGGAGACAGCAGAUACGUAGUUCGUAAGUUUGGUGAGCAUGAAGGCCCAUAUAAUACAACGGUUUCCGCUGAUCAUAUGAAACCAUGGAUUGUCUAUACUAGCGAACAGAGCGAGUGCGAGAAUGAAAGCGAGCAAGAAUAAAAUGUAAUAAAAUUUGUAAACGAAGGCGCCUAUGUGUGUGUGUGUGUGUGUGUGUGUGUGUAGGGAUGAGUGAGAUAUAAAAUGUAAGAUUAAUGCGGAAUUAGAAUAAAAGGUGUUAUGGAUGAAUGAAUGUGUGAAAGAAGAGGAGAGAGACAUUAGAGGACGAAUGUGUGUGCAGAAUGGCCGAGUGUGGGAUUGGAAAAAAUUCAUAAGUAGAAGAGUGAAUAAAUAUAAAGGCAAGAAACGUUAAGAUAUGAAUGUUCGAGAACGAUCAUUGUUAAAUGUAUACGUUGGCAUUUUGGGAAUGAGUGGAGUUGUUUUCCUGGUAUGUAGAACUGUGCUGUCCUCUGCUGUUAUGGUGUGAGAAAAUGAGAGAGUAUGAGUACAUGCGUGUGUUUAGCGUAGAUGGAUGGGAUACGAGAAGCGGAGAAUAAUAUAAGAUGAGAGUCAGUCGUAGAAGAGGAUUGCAGAAAAGAGUAAAAGAGAUAAGAGUUAGCGGUAGCAGAGAAAUCGCGGAGUAAGAGGAAUAAAGAGUAUGAAAGUAUCAGAGUAUGAGAGUGAAGAGUAAAGAGUAU
rnacentral:lncRNA from 1 species